rnacentral:rRNA from 1 species
AGUGAACGCUGGCGGUAGGCCUAACACAUGCAAGUCGAACGGCAGCACAGUAAGAGCUUGCUCUUACGGGUGGCGAGUGGCGGACGGGUGAGGAAUACAUCGGAAUCUACUUUUUCGUGGGGGAUAACGUAGGGAAACUUACGCUAAUACAGCAUACGACCUACGGGUGAAAGCAGGGGAUCUUCGGACCUUGCGCGGUUGAAUGAGCCGAUGUCGGAUUAGCUAGUUGGCGGGGUAAAGGCCCACCAAGGCGGCGAUCCGUAGCUGGUCGGAGAGGAUGGUCGGCCGCAUGGGAGCGGGAACACGGUCCUGACGCCUACGAGAGGCAGCAGUGUGGUAUAUUGGGCAGUGGUCGCAAGCCUGAUCCAGCCAGACCGCGUGGGUUAAGAAGGCCUUCGGGUUGUAAUGCCCUUUUGUUGGGAAAGAAAAGCAGCAGGUUAAUACCCCGCUGUUCUGACGGUACCCAAAGAAUAAGCACCGGCUAACUUCGUG